rnacentral:rRNA from 1 species
UGUAAGCGUAUACCAAAGUUGUUGCAGUUAAAACGCUCGUAGUCGGAAUUUGGCAGUUCCGGAUGUGUGCACGUCGUGUGCGCACUUCGCGGGGAUUGCUUUUGUGGUCUUGCGUAGGAUGAGGCACUUUUAUUAGUGAACGUCCUCACGCAACCACUUUUUACUGUGAGAAAAUCAGAGUGCUCAAAGCAGGCAUUUGCCGUGAAUGUAUUAGCAUGGAAUAAUAGAAUAGGACUUGGUUCUAUUUUGUUGGUUUGUUGGGACUGAGUAAUGAUUAAGAGGGACAGUUGGGGGCAUUUGUAUUUCGGUGCUAGAGGUGAAAUUCUUAGAUUACCGAAAGACAAACUGCUGCGAAAGCGUCUGCCAAGGAUGUUUUUAUUGA